rnacentral:rRNA from 1 species
UACGUAGGGUGCGAGCGUUGUCCGGAAUUAUUGGGCGUAAAGGGCUCGUAGGCGGUCUGUUGCGUCAGGAGUGAAAACUCGGGGCUUAACCCCGAGCCUGCUUCUGAUACGGGCAGACUAGAGGUAUGCAGGGGAGAACGGAAUUCCUGGUGUAGUGGUGAAAUGCGCAGAUAUCAGGAGGAACACCGGUGGCGAAGGCGGCAUCCUGGACCGGCAUUGACGCUGAGGAGCGAAAGCCAGGGGAGCAAACGGG